rnacentral:rRNA from 1 species
CGCACGGGUGAGUAACACGUAUGCAACCUGGCCGUCACAGGUGGAUAACCGGAAGAAAUUCCGACUAAUACAGCAUAACACUCCUGAGGGACAUCCUUCGGGAGUCAAAGGAGGCAACUCCGGUGACGGAUGGGCAUGCGGCGCAUUAGCUAGUCGGCGGGGUAACGGCCCACCGAGGCGACGAUGCGUAGGGGUUCUGAGAGGAAGGUCCCCCACACUGGUACUGAGACACGGACCAGACUCCUACGGGAGGCAGCAG